rnacentral:rRNA from 1 species
CCUACGGGAGGCAGCAGUGGGGAAUAUUGCACGAUGGGCGCAAGCCUGAUGCAGCCAUGCCGCGUGUGUGAAGAAGGCCUUCGGGUUGUAAAGCACUUUCAGCGGGGAGGAAGGCGGUGAGGUUAAUAACCUCAUCGAUUGACGUUACCCGCAGAAGAAGCACCGGCUAACUCCGUGCCAGCAGCCGCGGUAAUACGGAGGGUGCAAGCGUUAAUCGGAAUUACUGGGCGUAAAGCGCACGCAGGCGGUCUGUCAAGUCGGAUGUGAAAUCCCCGGGCUCAACCUGGGAACUGCAUUCGAAACUGGCAGGCUAGAGUCUUGUAGAGGGGGGUAGAAUUCCAGGUGUAGCGGUGAAAUGCGUAGAGGUCUGGAGGAAUACCGGUGGCGAAGGCGGCCCCCUGGACAAAGACUGACGCUCAGGUGCGAAAGCGUGGGGAGCAAACAGGAUUAGAUACCCCGGUAGUC